GAGCACACAUCAGCAGUCACUCAUACACCAAAAAUAAAAUAAAAUGUUAAAAAAAUAAAAGUUUCUGAUGUGCCAAACAAACUUUUGCAGGUAAAUUAGCUGCAUAACGAUUUCCACCACUGUUGUCAGUCAACUUCAGACAAGC
rnacentral:snoRNA from 1 species